rnacentral:rRNA from 1 species
UACGGGGGGGGGCAAGCGUUGUUCGGAAUUACUGGGCGUAAAGGCUCGUAGGCGGCCAACUAAGUCAGACGUGAAAUCCCUCGGCUUAACCGGGGAACGUGCGUCUGAUAUUGGGAUGGCUUGAGAUUGGGAGAGGGAUGCGGAAUUCCAGGUGUAGCGGUGAAAUGCGCAGAUAUCAGGAGGAACACCGAUGGCGAAGGCAGGUCUCCUGGGCCACUACUGACGCUGAGAAACGAAAGCAUGGGGAGCGA